UUGGAGGGCAAGUCUGGUGCCAGCAGCCGCGGUAAUUCCAGCUCCAAUAGCGUAUAUUAAAGUUGUUGCAGUUAAAAAGCUCGUAGUUGAAUUUCGGGGUUCUACCGUUGGUCGGGCAAUAGUCUGUACUGGCGUGUAGAAUUUCUACCUUCUGGGGAACUAUCAUGUUAUUUAUUUAGCGUGGUAGGAAACCAGGACCUUUACCUUGAAAAAAUUAGAGUGUUCAAAGCAGGCUUACGUCUGAAUACAUUAGCAUGGAAUAAUAAAAUAGGACGGUGGUCCUGUUUUGUUGGUUUCUGAAUCACCGUAAUGAUUAAUAGGGAUAGUUGGGGGCAUUAGUAUUCAAUUGUCAGAGGUGAAAUUCUUGGAUUUAUUGAAGACUAACUUCUGCGAAAGCAUUUGCCAAGGAUGUUUUCAUUAAUCAAGAACGAAAGUUAGGGGAUCGAAGACGAUCAGAUACCGUCGUAGUCUUAACCAUAAACUAUGCCGACUAGGGAUCGGACGAUGUUAAUUUUUCUUGACUCGUUCGGCGCCUUACGGGAAAC
rnacentral:rRNA from 1 species